rnacentral:rRNA from 1 species
CUUUUAUGGAGAGUUUGAUCCUGGCUCAGGACGAACGCUGGCGGCGUGCCUAAUACAUGCAAGUCGAGCGGAGU